CCUACGGGCGACAGCAGUGGGGAAUAUUGGACAAUGGGGGAAACCCUGAUCCAGCGACGCCGCGUGAGUGAAGAAGUAUUUCGGUACGUAAAGCUCUAUCAGCAGGAAAGAAAAUGACGGUACCUGACUAAGAAGCCCCGGCUAACUACGUGCCAGCAGCCGCGGUAAUACGUAGGGGGCAAGCGUUAUCCGGAUUUACUGGGUGUAAAGGGAGCGUAGACGGCAGCGCAAGUCUGGAGUGAAAUGCCGGGGGCCAACCCCGGAACUGCUCUGGAAACUGUGAAGCUGGAGUGCAGGAGAGGUAAGCGGAAUUCCUGGUGUAGCGGUGAAAUGCGUAGAUAUCAGGAGGAACACCGGUGGCGAAGGCGGCUUACUGGACUGUAACUGACGUUGAGGCUCGAAGGCGUGGGGAGCAAACAGGAUUAGAUACCCUGGUAGUC
rnacentral:rRNA from 1 species